rnacentral:rRNA from 1 species
UUAAUACCGACAAGCGACUUCCUUUCGAAGGGUGAAUUCUAUGCGGCUGGGUUGACAGCCCACGUGUGAAUUGUCAAUAGGGUUAAGGUACUGCAAGAUGCGAUGUCAAUCAACUUGCCAAUGGUUCAUCCUUGGCCAAACCUAGAGGAGACUCUAGCAAUUUGAGAAAUGAGCUUGGUAGAAAUGCCAUGACCCAUGUUUGGAAUGAGACAAACACUAAGUUGUCGACAUACAAAUAAAUAUAAAUAUAAAGUCAGAAUAAAUAACAACAACAACAAUAAUAAUAAUUUAGUUUCUCCAGUUAAAAGCUAUGGAAAUGCAGAGGUUUUUAAAGAUGAGGUAUUAAAAGAUAAUAGGGAUCUAUCAGGUGUUUAUCGAUGGGUUAAUAAUCUUAACGGCAAAACAUAUGUAGGUAGUGGAGUAAAUCUAGCCAAAAGAUUGGGUAGCUAUUAUAAUAAAAACGAAUUAAGUAGAAACCCUAGACCUAUCCUAGAUGCUUUACUAAAAUAUGGCUACAACAAUUUUACGUUGGAGAUUUUAGAGUAUUGUCCCAAAACUAAACUGCUUGAGAGAGAACAAUUUUAUCUUGAUUUAUUGGUUCCGGAAUAUAAUAUAUUAAAAUACGCAUAUUCCUUACUAGGUUUUAAACAUAGUAAGGAGAGCAUAGAAAAGUUAAAAGCUAAAAUUAUAUCUCCUGAGCAUAAAGAAAUAUUGUCUACGGUUCAUAAGGGAAAACUUGUUAGUGAUGUGACCAGAAAUAAACUGGCCGCUGCUACUGCAAGUUAUAGAAAAAAUAACCCUUUAACACCAGAGGCUUUGGCUAAUAUAAAAGCUAAAACUCUCGCUCGUGAAGGAGUAUCUGUUUCAGUCCUGAAUACUGAAACAAAUGAAGUAAAAGAGUUUACAAAUCAAACGGAAGCGGGUGUAUUUUUGGGGGUUACAAGGCAAGCAGUUUAUAAUGCUAUAAAAAGAGGUUCGCCUAUUAAUGGUAUAUAUCUUAUAACAAAAACAUAACAAACACAAAAAAAAAAUUACUUAAGCUUCAGUUAAUAUUUGAAGCCAGGUUAAAAUCUGUUGUCUAAAUGGGUAGUUAGAUAUAAUAAGAUAAUAUCUAACUACUUAGGGAGAAGUACCUUACUUUGCGUUAAGGCAAAAAGGUAGAUCUGUGUAUGUCUAAAGGGAAACAGCCCAGAACAAGAGUUAAGGUUCCAAAAUUAUUGUUAAGUGAAACUAAGGAAGUUUCUAUCUAAUACAACUAGGAAAUAGGCUUAGAAGCGGCUAUUUUUUGAAGACCUCGUAACAGAGCACUGGUUUAGUAAAAACUUUACAUUGAUAGUUGCACCGAAAAUUUAACGGAUCUAAACAAUAUACCGACACCUUGUCCAUAUUGUUAAAUAUAAUAUAGAAUUUAACUAUGGGGUAGCAGAACGUUGGGUAAAUCUUAGACAUAUUCUUUUUAAGAAUAUAGAGUAAUAACGAGUAAUAUCGUAUGAGAGCCCUGAAUUAAUGGUAACCCAAGUGAGAAUGCUGACAUGAGUAACGAAAAAGGGUCCCUUACGUUCGUUAAGAUGAAUUCAAAAAAUAGGAAUUAGUUGUCCAGUUUAGGGCGGACAUUCAAUUAAUUCAAAAAAAACGUAGGAAAUUAAUACGGGGGGGAUAUCUAACAAAAGAUAUUAUAGCCCUCGCCUAAAGCUUAUGGAUUUAUUAAAGUAACGGCCUCUAAGUUUACUAACCUAAAGGAUUAAACGAUGAGUAAAGCUUACCUACAAAGUAACAACAUCUUCUUGCUCGGCGAUAAUAUUUAUACGCUCCAGCGCUUUUUCGAAAAAGCGCUGGAGCGUAUAAAUAUUUACACUCAGUAAGAAAAGUGAAGAAGGUUCUGGAAAAACUUGUAACAAGUAAUGUUUAUUUUAUCAUUUUAAAUAUACUAAAACAUAUGAAGAAUGACGAAAUAAGGCUAAAUAAACCGUACCUAAAUACUACCACAAGUAAGCAAGUAGAGAAUACGAAGGCGUUUGAGUGAACAAUCAUUAAGGAACUCGGCAAACUAACUACCGUAACUUCGGGAUAAGGAGAGCCAUUCUUACUUAUUAGUAUAAGGUAAAGAAUAGGAAGCAUGGAAUAGUGUUGUACGACUGUUGUGCGCCGUUUAAUUAUAUAUACGCCCGUAUGUAAGUAGGGAUAAGAGUUGAAAAUCAAGUAAAAAGAAACUUACUCUUAUCCACCUUAUAUACCAGAUAGUUUUCGAAAUCUGUAAAGCAUUGUACUUAUCCUCGACCAUAAAGGGUGUCAACCUAGGUCUUGUAAACCUCGUAAGAGGGAGGGGAGUGUAGCAUGUACAAAAAGUGAGAGGAAGGCUCUGAGGAUGCGAAGACUUAAGAAAUGACAACCUACUUGCGAGCUAAAGAUUACAUGGCUUAAUGAAGAAAAGUUUUGGUCCGGAUUGUGCACCGGGUUGGAUAGAAUGGUUAAUGGACCAUUCAUGCGCAUCUACAAGCCAAUUGAGGGUACUUUUGUUUAUUGAACAGUGAAACAAAGGAGGGAACUACUCUCAACCAAGUAACAGAGUGAAUACUUGAAAACUACAAUCAUCAAAAUUGAUGAAAGUGAAAGCCUAAAUAAUCACAAAGACGUAUAUAUAAGAACUCGGGAAAUCUUUAGACUUGUCAUGUCUUCAAUCCAAUCUGGAUUGUCGAUUAUUUAUAUAUUACAAUUAUUAAGAAGUUACAUUAACUUGAACAAUUUCCCUAGAAGUAGUCCUUCAGUAUAGAAAUUGAUAAGAUACAGUCGGGCAUAAAAACUUCUAGAGGUUUAAGGAAAAAUUCUUGUAGACCCAACCCUCGAAGGGUUAAACUUUGACCUGGGGCUGACCCCCCCAUGUUAAAGGGGACAAACCUUAAAUUAUUGAAGGUGAAUGAGCUAGUGAUAACAUCGAGAACAUAGAUAUGAAGAGCUUAUGCCCUCGUCGAAUUUUAAAAAUGUGCCCUGGUUGUAAAUCUCCCUGAGGUUAAGACGUUCUCCAUCAAGUUAACGAGAGCUAUCAUACUCUGGGAAGCCCGAAGUAGCGGAAUACCGAUGAGGGAGGGAGUCUGAACUGAUCUUCCUCAGCAACGUGAAUCGUGAGAUAAAAGGCCUCCGAUAAGGGACAGUCAGCUAUAAAGAUUAAAUUUUCGGCGAAUGAGCACGACUUAGAGUUACCUAAGACACUCUCUUACACUAGAUUUCAUUCUGCUCGCAAUAAAAAUACUCAUUCAAAUUAUAAGUAAGUCAACUACAAUACAAAUAAAUCAGAACUAAUUAACCAAAUAGACAUCAAGGAAAGAUUAAUCCUACAGAGCGAUGGUAAAUGCAUCAAUGCGUUGUGCGCCGUUUAAUUAUAUAUACGCCCGUAUGUAAGUAGGGAUAAGAGUUGAAAAUCAAGUAAAAAGAAACUUACUCUUAUCCACCUUAUAUACCAGAUAGUUUUCGAAAUCUGUAAAGCAUUGUACUUAUCCUCGACCAUAAAGGGUGUCAACCUAGGUCUUGUAAACCUCGUAAGAGGGAGGGGAGUGUAGCAUGUACAAAAAGUGAGAGGAAGGCUCUGAGGAUGCGAAGACUUAAGAAAUGACAACCUACUUGCGAGCUAAAGAUUACAUGGCUUAAUGAAGAAAAGUUUUGGUCCGGAUUGUGCACCGGGUUGGAUAGAAUGGUUAAUGGACCAUUCAUGCGCAUCUACAAGCCAAUUGAGGGUACUUUUGUUUAUUGAACAGUGAAACAAAGGAGGGAACUACUCUCAACCAAGUAACAGAGUGAAUACUUGAAAACUACAAUCAUCAAAAUUGAUGAAAGUGAAAGCCUAAAUAAUCACAAAGACGUAUAUAUAAGAACUCGGGAAAUCUUUAGACUUGUCAUGUCUUCAAUCCAAUCUGGAUUGUCGAUUAUUUAUAUAUUACAAUUAUUAAGAAGUUACAUUAACUUGAACAAUUUCCCUAGAAGUAGUCCUUCAGUAUAGAAAUUGAUAAGAUACAGUCGGGCAUAAAAACUUCUAGAGGUUUAAGGAAAAAUUCUUGUAGACCCAACCCUCGAAGGGUUAAACUUUGACCUGGGGCUGACCCCCCCAUGUUAAAGGGGACAAACCUUAAAUUAUUGAAGGUGAAUGAGCUAGUGAUAACAUCGAGAACAUAGAUAUGAAGAGCUUAUGCCCUCGUCGAAUUUUAAAAAUGUGCCCUGGUUGUAAAUCUCCCUGAGGUUAAGACGUUCUCCAUCAAGUUAACGAGAGCUAUCAUACUCUGGGAAGCCCGAAGUAGCGGAAUACCGAUGAGGGAGGGAGUCUGAACUGAUCUUCCUCAGCAACGUGAAUCGUGAGAUAAAAGGCCUCCGAUAAGGGACAGUCAGCUAUAAAGAUUAAAUUUUCGGCGAAUGAGCACGACUUAGAGUUACCUAAGACACUCUCUUACACUAGAUUUCAUUCUGCUCGCAAUAAAAAUACUCAUUCAAAUUAUAAGUAAGUCAACUACAAUACAAAUAAAUCAGAACUAAUUAACCAAAUAGACAUCAAGGAAAGAUUAAUCCUACAGAGCGAUGGUAAAUGCAUCAAUGCGUUUAAUUUAAUCUCUAGUCCUGAAAUGCUAAUUGCGGCUUAUUCAACUAUAAAAAGUAAACCAGGUAUGAUGACAAAAGGUUCGGACGAGAUUACUCUUGACGGUAUCAGCAAAGAAUGAUUUGAAGAGCAAAGUAAGAUAAUCCAGUCUGAACAAUAUCAGCCUAAACCUUCUCGUAGAGAAUUUAUACCAAAACCUAACGGAAAAACAAGACCAUUAGGAAUAAGUUCACCUAGAGACAGAAUUAUUCAACAAUCGAUGAAAAUGGUGAUGGAAUGUAUGAUUGACCCUACAUUUUUAGACAGUUCACAUGGUUUCAGACCCCGAAGGAGCUGUCACUCCGCCCUCAAAGAAAUCAGAAGCUGAAAAGGGGUGACUUGAUUUAUUGAAGGAGAUAUUAAAGCCUUUUUCGAUAAUAUUGAUCAUCAGAUUUUAGCCCAACUGAUUAACAAACACUUUAGAGAUACUCGUUUGUUGAAUCUGUAUUGAAAAUUCGUUAAAGCAGGAUACAUGGAAUGAGAUCAAAGAAAAAUUAAAUAUGUAGCAUCAGAUGUAGGAGUACCACAAGGUGGUAUCGUUAGUCCAUUAUUAUCUAACUUAAUCUUACAUGAACUAGACGUAUAUGUGAAGGAACUAAGUGAUGGGUUUGAGAAUCUGAGAACUGAUCAAAAAAAAUCUCUAAUGAACCCUAAGUAUCUGAAAGCGGUUCGAUUAGUAAAAAAACUAAAAGAUAGUCUUAAAGAUGUUAAAAAGGGUAGUGCUGAAUAUCGUCUUACAAAACGUAAAAUUAGAUCGGCAUUAUGCGCUCAAAGAACUCUAAACUCACAAAUCCCUCAUCCCAAACUUCACCCUACAAUCAAAUACGUGCGUUAUGCAGAUGAUUGACUGAUUGGAGUUUGAGGUGAUAAAAAGUUUGCUGAUAUGAUAAAGAAUAAAAUGAGAACCAAAUUGGAAGAACUAAGAUUAACUCUCUCAGAAGAAAAAACCUUAAUUACUAACGCCAGAACUGAAAUGGCGAAAUUCCUAGGAACCCAUAUAAAGAAAUUUGCAACUAACAGAGGGACUAUAUUCGUAAAGAACAAGUCUAGUAAACAACUUGUUAGGAUUCCAGGUGGAAAUAUUAGAAUGACUGCACCUAUAUCUUCUAUCAUAAAAAAACUUGAACAGAAAGGUUUCUUAGUCGGUUCAUCUACCAAAUGGGAGAUGAAAUCGAUCUGAAAAUUCCUACCUCUGCCAAUGAAAGAUAUAAUACUAAGAUAUAGAUCUGUUUACCAUGGUUACAGUAACUUUUAUAGUUUUGUAGAUAACAAGAAGAUGUUCUCAAAGAUAUAUUGAAUUCUCAAAAUUAGUUUAAGAAAGACGCUAUCGAGAAAGUUUAAUGUCAGUAAACAUAGACUGACAAAAAAAUAUGGACAGCAUCUCAACUGUAACUAUCAAACAAGUCAGGGCAUAAAUAAAUAUAUUAACUUCCAAUUCCCUCCGUUAACGAGGGAUCCAAUGGCAUUCAAAGUUGGUAACAUAGAUUUCAAAGACCCAUUAUACGCGGGUUUAUGGAAUGUUAGAUCUAUAAAUGGCCUACAUGAAGUUUGUGCUAGUUGUGGUACAGAAUCAGGAAUUGAAAUGCAUCACUUAAAGCACAUUAAAACAAUAAACCCAAGACUUAAUAGCUUUGAUAAACUCUUAGCCAGAAUUAACAGAAAACAAGUUCCGCUAUGUAACGAAUGCCAUCACAAAGUACACGUAGGAAAAUACGAAGGGACAUCUCUAAGAUUCCUAGCAGGUAAAGGAAAAAAUAAAAACAUUCUUUAAUCCUGACUAAUAUCGGCAAGAAUUACCUUAGUACACAAACAGGAAGUUUAAGUCUAAUAAACUUAAACAUGGUCUUAUAAAGUUUUUGCUAUAACUGAUAAUUAAAUAUAUAAUAUAAUCGAAUAAUCGAAAGAAAGAAGAUACACAUAAUUUUGAAUUAUGAUAGAGAUCUCGGAAACUCCAUAUUAGUUGAGUGAAGAUACAUUCAAUGAAGGGGGUUAGCCUGAACAUAAAUUAGUACACAAACCUAUUACAGCAUGGAGCAGGACAUUCAAGUUUUACUGGAUCUGCUCAUCUAUCUGUGGUUAGUCACUGGUACACAACCAAGUCAGUGUCUCUUAUUUCUCCUAGAUAUGUCUUUACGACUUGAUAGGAGAGAUAAAAGAUAAAUUUCUGCAGAAUUCGCUAAUUCUUCGCGCUGACGUUUCAGGGGGAGAGCCGUAUGCAUUGAAAGGUGCACGUACGGUUCGGACGGGGGGUUCACUGAUAUGAGAUAUGGAUUAACGUUAAUUCAUACUUAAAUCGUAACUGGGUUCCUACCCUACUAAUUAAAACAAAGCACUUUGCAAUAAGAUAAUAAAUCAAAGUAUUGAGUGUGAUUUCUGCCCAAUGUCGGCUGGUUAACGGAUUUUCUGGGUUGACUAAUAUAAGCUUGGAUUUGAAGGAAACCCCGAUCAAUGGCGGCCUUACCUAUGAGGGUCCUAAGGUAGCGGAAUACCCUGGCCGUUAAAUGCGGUCUUGCAUGAAUAGAAAUCAAUCUAUUCCUAAUUCAACAGUGGCAUUAUAACGAUAUUAGUAAUAACUUAAAAGAAUGUGCCCUGCUUAGUAACCGGUACACGUGCGACUUCAUACCUAUAGAUGUAUGAGAUGUGGUUAUCAUCUUAGAAAAAGGGAACUAUCCGAAAAGCUACUUAAAAAUCCUAUUUUGAAACAGGUAGGAGAGGAAACUUGGUGCUAAAACAUGACGCAUCUGAACUAAGUAGAAAAUAACUAUGGACCUAAAUGUCAAAAGCGUUGAAUUUUUUUAAGUAAGACGCACACUUUAUUUUUUUCCUUUUUUUUUUUUAUAGUUUAAUUGUUAAAUAAUAAUUAAAUUAUAAUAAAAAAAAAGGAAAAAAAUUUAGAACUCUAAGGUAACCCCUAUUAAGUUUAUUAUUAUUAUUCUCCUCUUAGCAUUAUAACCCCGUGGAAGCAGAGGAGGGGAAUGUGGGCAAAAAAAAAUAUAAAAAAAAACAAAAACAUGAAAAAUCCAAAAUCGAUAACCAAAUUAAAUAGAUGCUUCUCCAGUUGACCCUCAAUAUUAGGCAGAGAUGGACCUAUGUCUAAUGCGUAUCGUUUAGCUAUUCAAUAUAUUAAUGAAAGUAGACCUAUAACAGCGGUUGAAGUUAAUAAAGUUUUAGCUUUUUCUGGUAUUAGUAUUAGUCAGGACAUGUUAAAUAAAAUACUUAGUAGACCACGACUAGAUUUUUCCGAUCUAGACUCAAAUACUAUAAAAACAGAAAAAUUCUUACAAACAAUUGGUACAGUAAGAGGUAAGGUUCAAUUACCUGGUGUUUACAUUUGAACACAUUUAGUUACAGGUGACAUGUAUGUUGGAUCAUCUUCUAAAUUAGCUCGUAGAUUAAUAGGUUAUUUCAAGAAUAACCAUAAAGAUACUGGUAAGCUAAUACCUUUAAUUAAAAAAGAAGGUGUGGGUGCUUUUAAAUUACAAGUUAUACCUUUAACAGAAUUUUAUCAAGUGAAUCAAGAACUUUGUUUAGAACAAUACUUCUUGUUACAACCUAAAUUUAAUCUUAACACACUUAGAGUAGUUAACGAUUAUUCUGGCGCAAGAGCCAUACCUUUAUACAUGUACACUAAGGACUUGUCAGAAUUGAUUUACUCUUCAAACAUCCAAGAGGACUUUAUAUUUAAAUUAAAAGUACAUUAUAGUAUCUUUAGCAACAGCUUAAAAACAGGAGCAGUUUACCUUGGUAAAUAUGUAUUCACAGAUAAGCCUAUUAUUGGAGCUAAAGAAAGCAAUAUGUCAGAAACAGAUAUAAAUUUCAUGUUGGAUAAAGAUAGGUUGGAAAUACAAAAAAGUAAGAGUAGAAAAGUAAUUAUAAAAGGUAUUGAAGGAAAUAAGGAAACUAUGCUGUUUGAUAGUAUAAGUAGUUGUAUAACUUUUCUUAACAAAAUAGCACCCUCUAAUAAAACAACAUUAUGUAGACACAUUGAAUCAGGAAAACCCUAUAACGGUUACCUGUGUCAAUGAGAUACUGUAAUUAAUGUUGCUAGUUCUAUUAAGGACAAAAGUAUAGAAAUCCAAGUAACUCAUAUACCGUCUGGUUCAACCGCUAUAUACCCUUCUUUUAGAAAGGCAGCUUUAUCUUUUGCACCAGAUUUUAUAACUACUGGACAAACUCUUAAAGCUUUUGCUGAAAAUGGUAAACUUUUUCAGGGAGAGUUUAAAAUAAGUAUCUUAAAGGAUAAGCAGUAAUUGCCCUUUAUUAAGCUUAUUAUUUAUAUUUUAUCAUCUAUUAAAGGAUACGUCCCUUAUAAUGAUAAGCACACAAAAUUUAUGCCAGCCUAAUUAGGAAAUAGAAAAAUCAAGCCUAGGAAACUUGAUUUUUGUGCAAUAAAGAGGCAAACUCCGGGGACACCCUAAAGCUUCUGGUACCAAGCUAUAGUUGAAAAACUAUAUGUGGCUGAAUUAAUUACUCAGGUUUUUGUUAGGUUAUUCAAUGAAUAACCUAAACAAUAAGGUAACAAGUCAGAAGAUGAGUGAAAACGAAAUGGGUUAUCGCGGAUCUAAGUCAGAUAAUAUAUCUGUAAAAGAGCAACGAGCGGAUGCUUCUUCGUAGAUACUUAAAAAUAAGUAUUAAUUUACGUAAGGUGCGCUCUAGUCGCCACGAAAGUGGUUCUUAAGCCAAAUAUAAGUAAUUUAAGAUUAAAGAUAUCAUAAUAACCUAACCUAAAGAUAAUAUCAAAGGUAAAAUUAUGAAACGGAAUGAUUUAACGAUACAACAGCUGUCUCAAUGAUUGGCUCAGUGAAAUUGGAAUAACUGUGCAGAUACAGUUUACCUCUAGAUAGACGAGAAGACCCUAUGCAGCUUUACUGUUGCUAGUUAUUGAAUAUGAUUGAACCAAUAUUAGUGUAUAAGGUAGUUGGAGGCAAUUUUUUAAACCUCGUUCAGGCAAAAUUGAAACACCUUUAUUUUGUUUAUCAUAUUCGUAGGCUAUAGAGUCUACGUCAUAAUAUAAGGUGCGUUAUUAUUACGUUAUUAAGUAUUAUAAUUAACCCAUCAUAAGGGAACAAUGGCUAGGAGGCAGUUUAUGCGGGGCACAGAUCCCAUAAAAAGUACCUGGGUGUAUCCAAAGUUAAUUUUGUAAAAUUGUCAUGACUUACUUAUGACAAUUAAAUAUACAAACUGUAUAUUUUUUUUUUUAGUUUGUUAUUGGUUUAGCUUAAGCUAAAACUAAUCCAACUAUAUAUCUAUUAAGUUAGAAUUAAUAUUUUAAUUUAAGUAAGAUUUUAACUAUAUGGAAAAUAGAUGUAAUUAAAACAUUAAUUUGAAAAUACUUUUCUAAUGUUUUUAGUUAUAUAAUUAGUUUAAAUUACACUUUUUAUAUAAUUAUGUUUAUUACUUGUCAAGUUUAAUGGCUUAAUCUUGCUUUACUGUUUGACUUACACGUCUAUCAGCCGCGUGAGCGGGCAUAUGAUCACAAGAUGCAGAAAGUAAAGCUCUUGGAUUUUUGAAAAAGCUACGCUAGGGAUGUUAGUCCUCCAAUGUUUUAUUCCUUUAAUUUUUAGC